rnacentral:rRNA from 1 species
AAGGAGAAGUCGUAACAAGGUUUCCGUAGGUGAACCUGCGGAAGGAUCAUUGUCGAAACCUGCUCAGCAGAAUGCGAGCCNUGAUUCAUCUGCUUGCUGGAUCGUAGAGUUGAUCGGUGUGCUGACCAAACAACGAACCCCGGCGCGAACUGCGCCAAGGAAUUUUUACUGAAGAGCGUGUCUAUCGUUGCCCCGUUCGCGGUGUGCACGUUAGGCUUGCGCCUUUGAAACACAAACGACUCUCGGCAACGGAUAUCUCGGCUCUCGCAUCGAUGAAGAACGUAGCGAAAUGCGAUACUUGGUGUGAAUUGCAGAAUCCCGUGAACCAUCGAGUUUUUGAACGCAAGUUGCGCCCGAAACCUUUAGGUUGAGGGCACGUCUGCCUGGGCGUCACACACAGCGUCGCUCCCCACCAACCUAGUUGUUGGAGAGCGGAGAUUGGCCCCCCGAGUCCUUUGGACACGGUCGGCACAAAUAUUGGUCCCCGGCAGCGAGUGUCGCGGUCAGCGGUGGUUUAUAUCCUCCAAAGACAAAAUGACGCGUGCCUCGUUGCAUGUUGGAUCGAAACGACCCUCGAAAGCCAUUUAUGGCAUUCACCCUGCGACCCCAGGUCAGGCGGGAUUACCCGCUGAG